UGGGGAAUAUUGGACAAUGGGGGGAACCCUGAUCCAGCCAUGCCGCGUGUGUGAAGAAGGCCUUUUGGUUGUAAAGCACUUUAAGCGAGGAGGAGGCUCUUCUAGUUAAUACCUAGGAUGAGUGGACGUUACUCGCAGAAUAAGCACCGGCUAACUCUGUGCCAGCAGCCGCGGUAAUACAGAGGGUGCGAGCGUUAAUCGGAUUUACUGGGCGUAAAGCGUGCGUAGGCGGCUGAUUAAGUCGGAUGUGAAAUCCCUGAGCUUAACUUAGGAAUUGCAUUCGAUACUGGUCAGCUAGAGUAUGGGAGAGGAUGGUAGAAUUCCAGGUGUAGCGGUGAAAUGCGUAGAGAUCUGGAGGAAUACCGAUGGCGAAGGCAGCCAUCUGGCCUAAUACUGACGCUGAGGUACGAAAGCAUGGGGAGCAAACAGG
rnacentral:rRNA from 1 species